UAAACUUUCUUCGUCUAAUUCGGUUAGGACUUAAUUUUUUCACAAUUAGAAUAUGAGUUCAAACCUCAUAGAAA
rnacentral:tRNA from 1 species